GACGCGGUCCCAUGGAGCCUCUAUAUGGGCCGGGGGAAGGGGCGGCCAGCCCUGUCCCGCCGCGCUUCAGGCUUGAGGCCCAUCGUUCCGCGGCGGUGUGGGAGUUUGGGUGGUGCUUGGAUGUGAGCGCUGCGGAGAAGCUGAGCCUGGGGCCUGCGCUCGGAUUUCAUGAGUUCAAGAUGCACCAACUACUUACACCAUCUUCCUCUUACAGCUUUGAAACAGGUAAGUGUUGUGUCUAAAAUUAAGUUUUAAAUUGAGAAAUGGUUAGGUACACUUACAGCAACUUAGCCUGGAGUACUCUUAUAUGUCAGGGAACUACAGGAGUGGUGUUUGUAAUACAGUAAUUGCCUGUGGUAUUUCUUCAGGCAGUCCUUACUGUUCUACUGGGAAGAAUCACCUCGUUCUUUGUACUGGAAAGUGGCUGUUAGGCCGCUGUUUCUGAAGCAGUAAUUAUUCUGUACCCAAACUACAGUAGGACCUAGGUGCUUUUUUUCUUCAUUAUUACUAUUUACAGCAAUAAGUAGCUUGCUGUUUAAGGAAAACUGCCUGAUGCAUGUUUCAGAAACGUGUGACUGUCAGAAUUAAUGUUAACUAAAUCAGAGCCUAUGAUGGUUUCAAUACAAGAGUAGUGGACAGAAAUGAUUUCUGAAAACUCUGUGCUGAGGCUUUUUUCUCUGCUUGAUGUCACUGCCAGAGAUAGUCUCCCUUAGUUCUACAGGUGUCUGAAACUUCUGUGUUUUUCAGAUCUGCUGUGGAAUAAAGAAACUUGAUGCUACUACAAAAGGUAAGAAAAAAAAAUUAAAAAUUCAGCCUGAAAUUGUGAUUGUUUAUCUAGACAGUAUCUUUUGUUCUAAUAACAUUAAUAGGCAGACUUUUCUCAGUUUUCCCUCCAGUGCCACAAUGAUGACACUUAUUUGCUACUCUUGACCAAGAGAAUGAUGAGCACUCUUACCACCAUAACUUUUCCUCUGAGGCACAGCAACUUAACGUUCCCCUUGAUGUUUUGUCUUAAGAACGUUCUAUUGAUAAGCUUUUUUUUUCUUCCAGUAUUUGAGUCAUAUACUUAGAAGACUUGCAGAAGAAACAUCAUCUGGUACUGGGAAAUAAAGCUAUAAACUGUGCAAGGCUGCCCUUGAUGGAGGAUACCUGUGCCUCCAGUGUGAGAAUAUUUCACCUGUUACUAAUGCUUGUGAAGACAAGGCCUUUCUAAUUAAAGGCUUCCAGAGUUUGUCAUUGCAGUGGCUGCUGUGAUAAAACUGUGAAGUAGUGCUGUUGUAGUCUACCAGCAAAAGUAAGUUGCCAGCAAAUGCAUGUGACUGGUCAGAACUGUGUGAUAAGUGAUCGGGAAGUUACUGCUAAAUGCUGGCCUCUAAUUGCAGUGUAGCUGAAGCAUUUAGAAGGUUCCUUGAGGAUUUGCCUCUACCAGUAGAUCACAGAUAACCAGCAGCCUGCAGGUUCACUUGCCCAAGGUGCUAGGGACUGAAUCUCAUACUUUGAAUAGAGACAGUACUAAGAUAGUUAUAAUUCCAGCAGUAAUAGACGUAGUUUCUGGAAGUCUUAAGGAGGCUCUGGAGUAACAUAAAUAUUGGACUGACAUUUCAUUUUCCUAAUGGUUUAUCCUAGAUUUGAGAAUGGGAAAACUGUUGGAUGCUUUAUGACAGAUGAUUCGUACUUGGUAAGCGGCUUCUCAGUUGCCCCAAGAAAAAAGAGAAACCUUUUUUCUACUCUUUGAAAAUCUUUACUGCUUUUUGCAGCAGAGAGAAGAAAUAGCAUGGACCCCAUUGAAAUAUGUAACUGCUAUGGGCUAGGGUUACUAGGAAUAAGAAUGUGUGAUAACCUGGCAGUGCAGAGCCUGUGCUGACCAAAACUAGUACAAUUAUUUGCUGGUUUAACUUUGCUGGUUAAAUUUGGUGGGCUUUUGCAGGGAGUAGUGAUGUGAAUAAAGAUGUAGUUGGGAGUAAGGUCUGAAAUGCUGAGGUCUGGUCCACCUCAAAGGAGAAACAAAAGUAACAAAAUACGAAGCUUCUCAAAGCAUGUACUGUUUGUGAUGAUUAAUUCUAAUCAAUGGGAAUCUCUCUGAAAGAGGCUGAGGAGGACUCUUGUGCUGAAACAGUACUCAUAUUCAAACUAAUUCUUGAGGCACUUCCAAGGAGAAUGUGUUAAUAGAAUUUCACUUGUUACAGGGUGAAGCUCAUGAGUUUGUGUGAGAAACAAGACUAACUCAUGUCUGAGGUAAGUGUCAAGUAGGUUGGGUUUGAUAAUUACAGUAAUGCUGGUUUUCUGCUAGGUGCCUAGAUUGUGGUGCCUAAAAUUAUUCAUUACUCCUAUAAUAGAUCGGAUUUGUCUUCCUGUUGUAUUCUGAUUAUCUCAGCUACUCUGGGAAUAAAUGUGAUGUGCUUGAAGCAAGAAUGCACUUCUGUGUAGGUCUGAGUUGGACUUAAAAGCGAAAGGGUCUUUCUGGGCAGAUAAGACAAUUUCUGAGCUGUAGUCAAUAGUAAACUUUUUGUAGUUCUUAACAGGAAAAGGUGUGGCUUCAAUGACUAAAAACUGGGAGUUUAUUAUUGGAUGUCUACACAUUGGAAAUAGUAAAGGACCUGAAUCAGUGUAGACUACUUAGCCAGUGAAGUGUUGAUAGUGUAGUGCAGCAGAAUGCAGAGUAGCAAAAAAUAACUCUUAAAAAUUCAUAUUUAUGUGGCUGCACUCUUAAAAAAAACAACAAAAAAACAUCCAACCUAUAUGCUGUGGUUGUCAGCUAAUGUUGGCACUAUGCAAAUAGAAUCAAGUUCUAGGUAAUUGCUGUGCAAAUGUGCUUCCUCCAACAGACUGGCUGUAAAUUUUAAGGAUAGGUUUUCAAGGUAAUUUCUAUGAGACUUUUAUUUUAAAUAUCAAAACUCAGUGAAUGUAACUAUGGGGAGAGAGUAUCACAAGCAGGUAGCUUUGUACUUUCCCCCAGUUCUUACAAUAAUAAUUCUGUAUUUUCAGUUAGGAUUUGUAAGCUUUGUAUAUCCUAUUUGGGUGUUACAAAUUGAAUUUCUUUUAGAGUAGAACUUCAUAGAUAGUCAACCUUUUAUAUAGUGAUGUCUGUUAUUCUGAAACAACUUGUUUCUUUCUCAGGAAAGGACUGUGCCGUCUGCAGCCUCAUUGGGUAAGACCACACAGCGGAUUAAUUCUGUUAAGAAAAUUAUGGGGUUAUUUGUAGCCAUUGAUGAAAUUUGAUUCUGCCAAAUGAAUUACCUUGAUAUUACACUUUCCGUUCCACUUUUCUCUGAGGUUACAAAGUUGCCGUGGAGGUUUUUAGGGUUGUGCUACUGCAAGAUUUAACUGUGGUUUCUUACUCUAGGUGAGAAGGCAACUUUGAAAUUACUCUAUGAAGAACUGAAGGUGGGAGACUGCAGAAUAAUGCAUUACACUUGCAUGAACAGCACUAAAAAAGCCCAAGAGUUCUUUUACCACACCAGUUAUGUUUUACUGAUACUGAUUGGUACCAAUAAAAACCUGUAAACUCUA